rnacentral:lncRNA from 1 species
AGUUAAAACCAGCCCAAGGUUGGCUGGUUUCUGUACUCUUCCCACGGUGUUUCACGCUUCCGAAGGGAUCCAGCCGCAGCCCGUGGCUGCACCGGCUCCUUCGCACCCGCCGGGGCUGAGGGGGCUGCCGGGGCUGCCUCCUGUGUCCCCCACAGCCCCCCGGGGCUCGCUGGGCAGGCAGCGGCUGCUGACGAGCUACAGCUGGGGUUAUCUGCCGGGGAGCUUAAGGAAAUAAAUGUUUCCUUUCCUCGCACGGGAUGGAGCUUAAAUGUUGGGAUCUGCGUUCGCAAAUCUUUUGCUCUGUGAACAAGCUGCCUUCACAAGAAUGUCAGUGAGUGAGGUCUCCUCUGCUCUCAUAUGACAUCAAAAAGCUAAAUCGUAGUUUGGGAACCUGGGCUCUUCCAUCAAGUUGUAACAGCCAAGGGUUUAGUGAUGGAAAUCCCCAGUUUGUUACUUGUUUAUGAGAUGAACACCUUUCUGAGAGCAUUUCUAUGUUCAGAGAAGACCCCUGUGUGAAUGACUAUUCUGAAAAUGCAUAGGUUAGAAAAUUUUCAUAAGAAGAUUGUGUGGUAACUGACAACGUGCAUCAGUGGGGCAAACAGCGAGACAGUGGGAAUUGGUUGUGGUGGGGUGAAACAAGGAAUGUCUGGUUCUUCACCUCAGUGAAGGAAGUUAGGAAGUUUCUGUGGUGACAUCACCCUGAUUUUCUUUGACUUUAGAAUGAAAAGUGUGACCUGACAGCUGGUGGGUCUUUUGAGAAAAUCUGUGGACUGUUCUUAGAAAGAUGAAAAUUGAGAGAUGAGUUACCAGAAGUGCCCUACAGAGAGAACAGUACUUGUUGCUGGGAAGUUCAGCAUCUUAGACAACAAUUUAACUGCUGAUAUUCCCUCUGGAGCACAUCUCCUCGAGUCAGUCUAUCCAUCACUUUGGCCCCUGGUUGGAGUGGGAAUUUGUUAUCCACCUCUGUGUUCAACUCUAACACCAUGAGUUGGACUGUGUAGUGCUUAUGCUUGAAGUUCAUCUUGAGUCUGGAAAUAUUGUACUCUUGGGCCAGCUCUUGCAGAGGAUUCUUGUUGUCAUGUGGAGUCAUAGGAAGGGUUGGAGAAAUAGCCAAGGGCCUGAAAUACACAGCUGUUGGACUUGCCAAAAUGCCUGACUGCUGUGGAGGGGCAGGCUGGUCCAGGCUUCCAAUGGUUGACAGAUCUCCAGUGCCCAGACAUUCACCCCAUCCCAGAGCUGCUGGAGGAGACCCCACAGUUACAGCCUGACAAUCAGCUGGUUCUGUGGAGGACAGCCACAACCCCCAGAUCCUGCGCAGGCCACAUACAAAAGCCCUGUGUGUUGCAAGAAGACUACAGACCACCCUUGGGAAGCCGUGAUGGACAGCUUCCCAGCCUCCUGGCCCCACAGCAUCACCCUGAACUCAUCAUUGUUGCUGGCCCAGAGGCCUUCCAUGAAUUAGCCUGAAACACGAAUGCUUGUUUUCCUCUUGCACUGAAUAAGAAACUGACAAUAUCUAAUUGUCAAUACCCCUCCCCUGAGAGACAUGCAACAGCAUUGCUCCUCAGGGCAUAUUCCCCAUUCCCCACUGCUGUAUUUAGAACAGUUUGAGAAGACCAAAUUUUAAAAAUAAUAAUCUUUCCAAAAGCUCCCCACCCACCAGUACUCCUCUGCCAAAAUGCAGUUUGAAAAAAAUGAAAAAAGACAAAUUUAUACACUCUGAUGAAUGGGAGUUCAAGAUGGAACCUGAACAUCAUCAUUCUUCCAAAUGUUCAAUGAUAAUGGAAAGCCAUGGUGAUGAUGGCAUCAUGCCCAGAGAGGUCCUUU